rnacentral:rRNA from 1 species
AGUGAACGCUGGCGGUAGGCCUAACACAUGCCAGUCGAACGGCAGCACAGUAAGAGCUUGCUCUUACGGGUGGCGAGUGGCGGACGGGUGAGGAAUACAUCGGAAUCUACUUUUUCGUGGGGGAUAACGUAGGGAAACUUACGCUAAUACCGCAUACGACCUACGGGUGAAAGCAGGGGAUCUUCGGACCUUGCGCGAUUGAAUGAGCCGAUGUCGGAUUAGCUAGUUGGCGGGGUAAAGGCCCACCAAGGCGACGAUCCGUAGCUGGUCUGAGAGGAUGAUCAGCCACACUGGAACUGAGACACGGUCCAGACUCCUACGGGAGGCAGCAGUGGGGAAUAUUGGACAAUGGGCGCAAGCCUGAUCCAGCCAUACCGCGUGGGUGAAGAAGGCCUUCGGGUUGUAAAGCCCUUUUGUUGGGAAAGGAAAGCAGCAGGUUAAUACCCCGCUGUUCUGACGGUACCCAAAGAAUAAGCACCGGCUAACUUCGUG